rnacentral:rRNA from 1 species
CGACGAAGAACCUUACCAGGUCUUGACAUCCCGUUGACCGCUAUGGAGACAUUAGGUUUUCCCUUCGGGGACAAUGGUGACAGGUGGUGCAUGGUUGUCGUCAGCUCGUGUCGUGAGAUGUUGGGUUAAGUCCCGCAACGAGCGCAACCCUUGAUCUUAGUUGCCAUCAUUUAGUUGGGCACUCUAAGGUGACUGCCGGUGAUAAACCGGAGGAAGGUGGGGAUGACGUCAAAUCAUCAUGCCCCUUAUGACCUGGGCUACACACGUGCUACAAUGGACGGUACAAACGGUUGCCAACCCGCGAGGGGGGAGCUAAUCCGAUAAAACCGUUCUCAGUUCGGAUUGUAGGCUGCAACUCGCCUACAUGAAGCCGGAAUCGCUAGUAAUCGCGGAUCAGCAUGCCGCGGUGAAUACGUUCCCGGGCCUUGUACACACCGCCCGUCACACCACGAGAGUUUGUAACACCCGAAGUCGGUGAGGUAACCUUUUGGAGCCAGCCGCCGAAGGUGGGAUAGAUGAUUGGGGUGAAGUCGUAACAAGGUAAGCGUAGAUGA